AGUAGUUGGUGAUGGUGGCAGUAUAUCCAGGGGAAAAAUACGUUCUUUAAAAGCACGCCAACUGAAAUUCAAAGUAUAUAAUUUGAAAGUUAAUACCUUUAUUGUUUUCUUAUUAAUCUUGCAGCUCUGCAAGGUUUGAAGGGUCCCUUAAUAUGGACCUUAAUGAAAUCAGCAUGAAUUUAGUUCCUUUUCCUCAACUUCAUUAUCUUACAUCAAGCCUGACCCCUCUGUAUACACUGGCAGAUGUCAACAUUCCUCCUCGCAGGUUGGAUCAGAUGUUUUCAGAUGCCUUCAGCAAAGAUCACCAGCUAAUUCGAGGAGACCCCAGACACAGUCUAUACCUUGCCUGUGCCCUCAUGGUUAGAGGAAAUGUACAGAUUUCAGAUCUUCGUCGAAAUAUUGAAAGAUUAAAACCUGCCCUGCAGUUUGUCUCCUGGAAUCAAGAAGGCUGGAAGACCAGCCUGUGUUCAGUACCUCCUGUGGGCCACUCGCAUUCAUUAUUAGCUUUAGCAAAUAACACAUGCGUGAAACCUACCUUCAUGGAGCUGAGAGACAGGUUCAUGAGGCUGUACAAGAAAAAGGCUCAUCUCCAUCACUAUCUCCAAGUCGAAGGGAUGGAGGAAAGCUGUUUCUCAGAGGCCGUGUUGUCUUUGUCAGCGCUCAUACAGGAGUAUAACCAACUGGACACUACACGGAGCAUGCCAGUGCAGGACGUACCACGGCUAAGCGUAGCUGUGUGACAAAGAGCCAAAAACAUACUGCCCUUCCUUUUUCCUAAUUUCAGUUUCCCUCACCUUCCUGCUGCCGCAUGCUUGUGACUCAGAAAGCCCAGUUGGUUUUUAUAUUAGCAGGAAGCACUUUUGUCUUGAAGAGGGCUUCCUGUUAGAUCACAGCUUGUUGAUAAUACUUGCAUGUGAAAUGGGUGGAAGCUUACCACCUUCACCCCAAAUUGUGUCACAAAUUCAGAGAACAGAUUUCCUGAUCAAUAUGCUUUAUUGAUAACCUUGUAUUUAGAUUUUUAUACACAAAUAAUCUUGUCUUUUAUUUUUAAAAAGUUUACAAUUCUAUUUUUAUAUUUAUUUAUAACUUAUUUUGUGCUUCCACUAACUUUUCAGGGUUUUUUUUCCCUUUGUACUCAAAAGAGUCAUAAUUUAGAUAUUGUGUAUUUGUACUAAAUUAUUUUUAAAUAGCUAUCUUGUCAAAAUCACUUGAUUUUGUAAUAAACAGUUUUAAAAGAUGUUAAGCAAUGCCACUUGUUACUAUUGUUUUGAAUGCCAUCAUUUAUAUAAAUGAACAGAACACUACUAAUCUUAAUCCCUCUUUCAACUUUAUCAUGAAAUUGUUCCAGUUAAUACUUAGACACAUUAGGUUCAUUUACCUUAUAAGGGAAUAAAUUUUAGAAAAAAAAUUAUUUUAAGUUUGUUUCCUUUGCAAAAUAAUGAUACUGUUCUUGGUCUUUACUUGGAAAUUUAGUUUAUUAUUUGUUAUAAAAAAAAAAGUCCAGAUCAUAGAUGUCAAGAGUAAUCAAGAAGUCCAUUCUUUCCUUCCCAGAAGAAAUCUUAACUGAUAUUCAGGAUAUAUACCAUAGAUAGAUAGAUAGAUAGAUAGAUAGAUAGAUAGAUAGAUAGAUAGAUAGAUAGAUAGA